rnacentral:ncRNA from 2 species
UUCAGUCUUUAAGGUAUGGUGAGAAAGGAGUUUCCUUUCAUAUUCCUGACCGGCGGUUAUAGUCCGCAACCUCUUACGGGAGUUGAUUCGAUGAAAUCUCGAAACCGACAGUAUAGUCUGGAUGGGAAAAGACAGCA